CCAGAACGAGAUGGGACGUAGUAACUCCACCUUACGUCUGAUUACUUCUUCAGAAAAAGGAGGCUCCACAUGGUCAACAACAACAACUGUUUUUGCAUCCAUAUCUGCUGUUUUCCUGCUGAUCAUCAUCCUCGCUGUCCUCUACAUCAGAUCCCACUGACCAACGCUGGACACCAGGAGGAAGAGGAGAAAAUGGAGAUGGUGCCGUCCACAUGUAUCCACUUUGAUGAAGGCAGCGAGUGACAAUCUUUACUGAAUAUGGAUCCGUCUCUGCUUUUAUCAUCACUGUUUUAUUGCUGUUUAAACGUGUUAAUGAUUCAUUUAGUGAGUUUACGGUUCUUUCACUGACGGAGAUGUGAAGGAGCUGUGGAUGAUUCUUCAGCUCUUGAUUUUUCGAUUUCUUUCGAUUCUCGAUUC